AUGAUGGUGAAAUAUGAGGAAACAGUUUGGCUGUUAAUCAGCAUAAGGAUGCUCCAUCUUGCUUGGAAAACAAAGCGCUUCAGUACCAAAAAGUUUCUUCAAAGAAACUCCCAGACUGUAACUUGUGCAGCUCUGCAGAGGGGAGCUCUCACUGUACUUCAAAGCGGAGAAAAUCCUGCAGCUGUCUGGAGCCCGCUUGCCCCAGGAGGUGUCACUGUUGGGACUGGCAGGGUAUGUAGUCUUCUAUUCAUUCAGCCACACCAAAGACUCUACACUCCGCAGUAA
rnacentral:lncRNA from 1 species